rnacentral:rRNA from 1 species
AGAGUUUGAUCAUGGCUCAGAACGAACGCUGGCGGCAUGCCUUAUACAUGCAAGUCGAACGAGAAAGCCUUCGGGUGAGUAAAGUGGCGCACGGGUGAGUAACGCGUGGGUAUCUACCCUUAAGUUGGGGACAACAUCGGGAAACCGGUGCUAAUACCGAAUGUGGAAGUAAUUCUAAAGGUGGCUUCGGCUAUCGCUUAAGGAAGGGCCCGCGUAGCAUUAGCUUGAUGGUGGGGUAACGGCCUACCAUGGCGACGAUGCUUAACUGGUCUGAGAGGAUGAUCAGUCACACUGGAACUGAGACACGGUCCAGACUCCUACGGGAGGCAGCAGUAGGGAAUAUUGCGCAAUGGGGGAAACCCUGACGCAGCAAUGCCGCGUGAGUGAGGAAGGUCUUCGGAUUGUAAAGCUCUGUCCUAUGAGAAGAACGGCUUUAUGGUUAAUACCCAUAUUGUUUGACGGUAUCAUAGAAGAAAGCACCGGCUAACUUCGUGCCAGCAGCCGCGGUAAUACGAAGGGUGCAAGCGUUGUUCGGAUUUAUUGGGCGUAAAGCGAGCGCAGGCGGAUAAUCAAGUCAGAUGUGAAAUCUCGGGGCUCAACCCCGAAACUGCGUCUGAAACUGGUUAUCUUGAAUCUCGGAGGGGGCAGGGGAAUUUCUCAUGUAGGGGUAAAAUCCGGAAAGAUGAGAAAGGAACACC